UGGGGAAUAUUGGACAAUGGGCGAAAGCCUGAUCCAGCCAUGCCGCGUGUGUGAAGAAGGUCUUCGGAUUGUAAAGCACUUUAAGUUGGGAGGAAGGGCAUUAACCUAAUACGUUAGUGUUUUGACGUUACCGACAGAAUAAGCACCGGCUAACUCUGUGCCAGCAGCCGCGGUAAUACAGAGGGUGCAAGCGUUAAUCGGAAUUACUGGGCGUAAAGCGCGCGUAGGUGGUAUGUUAAGUUGGAUGUGAAAUCCCCGGGCUCAACCUGGGAACUGCAUUCAAAACUGACUGACUAGAGUAUGGUAGAGGGUGGUGGAAUUUCCUGUGUAGCGGUGAAAUGCGUAGAUAUAGGAAGGAACACCAGUGGCGAAGGCGACCGCCUGGACUAAUACUGACACUGAGGUGCGAAAGCGUGGGGAGCAAACA
rnacentral:rRNA from 1 species